GCCGUCCUGCCAUGAUGCAGAGAGGCCUCCAUCCUGAGAGAGCUCCCUGAUGAACUUGAGGAGGGAGCUCCUGUCCUGCUCUGUACAUGAACUGGUGAGAGAGGCGAGGUUGAUGAGCAGCACCAGCGCAAGGGCAAGAACAGGACUAAUCAAUGAAGAGCAUCAGGAGGAAGAGAGAAGCUGCCCUUGCUUCCAUUUUAUUCUGGUAUACUAGUCGUAAUCAUAAAAAAGAAAUACAUGUCAAAGAUUAGGUGAUAUAGCCUAUGGAUAUUCAUUAGGACUUUUACAGAUACUGCCACAAUAUCUUCUUGGCAAAAUAUGGUUAUAUAGCAUCCAGUUUCGCCUGUCUUCUUCGGUAUGACGUCUCACUAGCGAGUACUAUUGAAACAUCAAGUGGCCGACCUCCCUGAUCGUGCAAGUUAUUUCCUUUUGUUUGGACCAUUUUUUAUUUUAAUCGUUGUCACAUUGACAUUGUUACAACAUGGAUUAAUUGACUCCAUCUGACAUCACUUCUCUUACCAGCUGCACCCCUGAAGCCAUGAAAGACCUGUUAGCUUGCCAGUUGCCACUGAUGCGUACAAAUUUGUUCAUCCUUGAGAAGAUCAAGGAGAAACGCCCAGGGAUCUUCCGACUAGUUCCACAAGGUGGUGGGCUAGCCGGCGUUGGUUCGAAAUCUCACCCCUUCUAUUUAUUUGAUAUUAGGUUCUUCCCUAAUAUUCACGUUUUUCUUCUGUGAGAAGAUCAAGAAACACAGCUGGUGAAGAUUUGUAAGAUCAGCUUUGCAGGUGGUACAUGGGAAGCAUCAUUCGGAGAGUUGCAUAUAAUCUAGAGCAAUCAUCGGCGUCGCGGUCGUGGUGCGGCACAUGCUCUGGACACCAACAAACACAGCUGAUUGGUUGGUAAUCUGGUGACUAUCUCGUCUCUAUUAUUAUUGUUGUUGUUGUUGUUGAGACGAUCACGCAAGGGCCAAGGCGUUUACUUUCUGCUGUCAAGCGUGCGCGUUGGUUGGCUUAUUUGCUCCACACGUUCAGCUGUUAUCCAUCCUUCAGGCUUCGCCGUUGUAUGACUGUUGACCCAUGGAGGCAUGGACUAUUAUGACGCUUUGUGGUUGUGGAUGCCAUCUGAAUUUUGGAAGCAUAUCCCCUGUGGAUGCCAUCUGGCUGAUCACUUGCAUAGUUGCAUCGGGAUUUAGGACACCACAGGGGAUACUGGUUGAUCACACAUAAUCAUCUUAUGUAUUCUUCCGUUCUAAAAUAACUUAACCGAUAAUAGAAUAUGACAUAACUUAGUACAAUAAAUCUAUAAACGGAUUACGCACCAACAGGCUAACCCUUAUGGGCCUACACGUCAGAGGUAAGUAGAAGAGCCUCAUCGGUGUAGACAUGGUUGAAUGUAGAGUACUCUUGAAUGUACUUCCUGGACCUGGAGCUACACAAGCCUUAGUUUAAUUGAACCGUUGUGUAAAAAUUGUAUUUUUUUUAAGUCAUGGUCAUAUAUUU